UACGAAGGGGACUAGCGUUGUUCGGAUUUACUGGGCGUAAAGCGCGCGUAGGCGGAUCGCUAAGUCAGGGGUGAAAUCCCAGGGCUCAACCCUGGAACUGCCUUUGAUACUGACGGUCUGGAGAUCGGGAGAGGUUGGUGGAAUUCCGAGUGUAGAGGUGAAAUUCGUAGAUAUUCGGAAGAACACCAGUGGCGAAGGCGACUCACUGGACACAUAUUGACGCUGAGGUGCGAAAGCGUGGGGAGCAAACAGG
rnacentral:rRNA from 1 species